rnacentral:lncRNA from 1 species
UGAAUUUCGCUCAAGACAAUUAGUCCUAGAAGACAGGGAGAAGGAUUUCAACUAUGUUUAAUAGCAGAGGUUUUUUAUUUCCCUAAGGAAAUAUGAUACUCAAAACACACACACAAACUAUAAAAAGAAAAGUGUUCUGGUUGAAGCCUGAGUUGGAAGUCCAGAUGCUCACCCAUCUUGCCUCCUCUUUGCCCCUCAGAUCUGCUCCUGAGCCUCCUUCACGGACUUUACUUUCCACGAGACACAUUUGUAAAACGUUGGGCUAUACUGACCUCUUUAUGGACCUUGAGAUCAACUUUGCAGCAAAGUCAACGUUUAGAACAAAGCUGAGAACCUCAAAGAUGUAAAAGCAGAUUUUCUGAAGGAACGGAUUCAGUACUAAAAGAGGACAUCAGGCAGCCUGGGUUUGAAUCCCAGCUCAGUUUUUCAGGAACUGAGAGUCAACUCCUUGCCCAGUUCAGGCUGGUUAAGACCACCAAAUCGUCAACUGGCCCUGCACGGAGGACUGAUAGGUGACCCUUUGACACCAAGAGAAGCCGAGAACUCCACCCUCAGACCGUGGUAACGCAGUCAUUUUGUGAACACGUGUCCUAUGAAGAGCCAUGAAGUUUGACUAUCCUUGCACAGAUCAUCAAUCACCUCGCUUCUCCUUAUCUCCAAUCAUUUAUUCCCACACUUCAGACCAUCCCAUCCCUUUAUCCCAUAAAUACCCCUAAUCCCCAUUUUUCAGAGAGGCAGAUUUGUGAUUGGUUCUCCUGUCUACUCACUCAGCUGCCUUUCUCUGCUGCAAACUCGCCAUCUCUGUGACUGGCAUAUUCGUGUGGCAGGUUCGGUAACUUGCAGACCCAGAACCUUACUGCACCACCAUCAUCUGUAGGCUUCCAUGGUCAGAAAGCUGCUGCCAGCUCCAGAACCAAGCUACCCCUAAUAUAACUGAUGAGGAUCAAGGCUGACCCAGGGAGAAAAGCCCAAGGCGUCCUGCCCUGCAUACCGAUCUAUAUCAUCCUUCAGGAAGCAUAGGAUGUCCUGACCUGAUCAGAUCUGAUUCUUAUCUAAAGUUAUAGGACCACCCAAUAACCAGACCCCACCUACUCUGAUACCAUUUUAAUGACUUUUUUACAUAAUCUUUCCUUUGUCUUGUAAAGAGAUAACUCACAUACCUAUGCCUUGUAAAUUUAUCCCUACCCUCAACCCACGUUUGCAGCUCUUUACUGCCCAUGGGUCCUGUCCCCAUGCUAUUCUCUGAAUAAAGGAGCACUACUACCAGAUCUUGAGAGUCCAAGAAAGCUUUCUUUUGACUCCUCGGCUCACCUGAGCCCUCGUCAAAACCACUAGCAAUAUGGAUGACGCUUACCAUGCCAGUAAAGGAAGCUGCAGCUGUGGUAGAUAACUGCAUGUGGUCUCAGACUCUUCUGGAGCUGCAAGCGUCCCACCUCAACUGCAUAAUGCCCAGAACAAAAUAACAGGUUGGAAAAGGCCCACCUUUCAAAGCGAUUUACUAGACCACCAACACAAGACUUGCUAAAGACAAAUUUGUGACUCUUGGCCAACAGCCAUAUGGAAAGCUGGAACAGGAUAUUGGAAGAGAAUCAGACAUAGGAAAGAGUUCUUCCGUCUCACCUUUAACCUAUGAGAAGAGCUUCAAGAACACCACUGGAAUGAUUAAUAUGCUAUUCCUGGAGUUUAGAACGCACAAGACUGUCGUCUGAAACACACCAGAGAAACUGAAUUAUAUAGCUAUGGCUAUCAGCCUGGGCUAUGUUGGCAGUGAAGAUGAAUGACUAUUUCUUGCCAGGCUGGGAUCAUUUUACAUUCUUUGCAAGAGGCCUUCCUGAAAUGAUUCUGUGACCCUAACAAAAGGGGUAGACCCUUGAUGCAUAGGGUAAGAUGCCCA